GAUCCUGGCUCAGGAUAAACGCUGGCGGCGCACAUAAGACAUGCAAGUCGAACGGAAGUCGUUAUAAAAGGAGAGAAGAUUUGUCGGAUUGAAUUUUAUAACAAUGGCUUUAGUGGCGGACUGGUGAGUAACGCGUAAGGAACCUACCUAUUAGAGGGGAACAACAAUGAGAAAUCAUUGCUAAUACCGCAUAUGCCAUAACUACCGCAUGGUAGAAGUGGGAAAGGAGUAAUCCACUGAUAGAUGG
rnacentral:rRNA from 1 species